UAGGGAAAAGUCGACAUUCCUGAGA
rnacentral:piRNA from 1 species